UGCAAGUCGAACGAUGAACCACUUCGGUGGGGAUUAGUGGCGAACGGGUGAGUAACACGUGGGCAAUCUGCCCUGCACUCUGGGACAAGCCCUGGAAACGGGGUCUAAUACCGGAUACAACCACUGGGGGCAUCUCUUGGUGGUGGAAAGCUCCGGCGGUGCAGGAUGAGCCCGCGGCCUAUCAGCUAGUUGGUGAGGUAAUGGCUCACCAAGGCGACGACGGGUAGCCGGCCUGAGAGGGCGACCGGCCACACUGGGACUGAGACACGGCCCAGACUCCUACGGGAGGCAGCAGUGGGGAAUAUUGCACAAUGGGCGAAAGCCUGAUGCAGCGACGCCGCGUGAGGGAUGACGGCCUUCGGGUUGUAAACCUCUUUCAGCAGGGAAGAAGCGAAAGUGACGGUACCUGCAGAAGAAGCGCCGGCUAACUACGUGCCAGCAGCCGCGGUAAUACGUAGGGCGCGAGCGUUGUCCGGAAUUAUUGGGCGUAAAGAGCUCGUAGGCGGCUUGUCGCGUCGGUUGUGAAAGCCCGGGGCUUAACCCCGGGUCUGCAGUCGAUACGGGCAGGCUAGAGUUCGGUAGGGGAGAUCGGAAUUCCUGGUGUAGCGGUGAAAUGCGCAGAUAUCAGGAGGAACACCGGUGGCGAAGGCGGAUCUCUGGGCCGAUACUGACGCUGAGGAGCGAAAGCGUGGGGAGCGAACAGGAUUAGAUACCCUGGUAGUCCACGCCGUAAACGGUGGGCACUAGGUGUGGGCAACAUUCCACGUUGUCCGUGCCGCAGCUAACGCAUUAAGUGCCCCGCCUGGGGAGUACGGCCGCAAGGCUAAAACUCAAAGGAAUUGACGGGGGGCCCGCACAAGCGGCGGAGCAUGUGGCUUAAUUCGACGCAACGCGGAAGAACCUUACCAAGGCUUGACAUACACCCGGAAAACCCUGGAGACAGGGU
rnacentral:rRNA from 1 species